GAUGAACGCUGGCGGCGUGCCUAAUACAUGCAAGUCGAGCGAAUGGAUUGGGAGCUUGCUCUUAUGAAGUUAGCGGCGGACGGGUGAGUAACACGUGGGUAACCUGCCCAUAAGACUGGGAUAACUCCGGGAAACCGGGGCUAAUACCGGAUAACAUUUUGAACCGCAUGGUUCGAAAUUGAAAGGCGGCUUCGGCUGUCACUUAUGGAUGGACCCGCGUCGCAUUAGCUAGUUGGUGAGGUAACGGCUCACCAAGGCAACGAUGCGUAGGCGACCUGAGAGGGUGAUCGGCCAAACUGGGACUGAGACACGGCCCAGACUCCUACGGGAGGCAGCAGUAGGGAAUCUUCCGCAAUGGACGAAAGUCUGACGGAGCAACGCCGCGUGAGUGAUGAAGGCUUUCGGGUCGUAAAACUCUGUUGUUAGGGAAGAACAAGUGCUAGUUGAAUAAGCUGGCACCUUGACGGUACCUAACCAGAAAGCCACGGCUAACUACGUGCCAGCCGCCGCGGUAA
rnacentral:rRNA from 1 species